rnacentral:rRNA from 1 species
AUUGAACGCUGGCGGCAUGCCUUACACAUGCAAGUCGAACGGCAGCACGGGUGCUUGCACCUGGUGGCGAGUGGCGAACGGGUGAGUAAUACAUCGGAACGUACCUUAUCGUGGGGGAUAACGCAGCGAAAGCUGUGCUAAUACCGCAUACGCCCUGAGGGGGAAAGCGGGGGAUCGCAAGACCUCGCGCGAUUAGAGCGGCCGAUGCCUGAUUAGCUUGGUGGUGGGGUAAAAGCCCACCAAGGCGACGAUCAGUAGCUGGUCUGAGAGGACGAUCAGCCACACGGGGACUGAGACACGGCCCAGACUCCGCCGGGAGGCAGCAGUGGGGAAUUUUGGACAAUGGGGGCAACCCUGAUCCAGCAAUGCCGCGUGAGUGAAGAAGGCCUUCGGGUUGUAAAGCUCUUUUGCCAGGGAAGAAACACCGGCUCUAACACAGUCCGGGAAUGACGGUACCUGAAGAAUAAGCACCGGCUAACUACGUGCCAGCCGCCGCCGUAA